rnacentral:rRNA from 1 species
UACGUAGGGGGCAAGCGUUAUCCGGAUUUACUGGGUGUAAAGGGUGCGUAGGUGGUAAUGCAAGUCAGAUGUGAAAACUCAGGGCUCAACCUUGAGGCUGCAUCUGAAACUGCGUAACUAGAGUGCAGGAGAGGAAAGUGGAAUUCCGAGUGUAGCGGUGAAAUGCGUAGAGAUUCGGAGGAACACCAGUAGCGAAGGCGACUUUCUGGACUGUAACUGACACUGAGGCACGAAAGCGUGGGGAGCGAACAGG